UGGAAAACUCCCUGGAAAGGGGAAAAAGAUCUCGGUAAUCCCGGUGCUGGUGAGAGCGGACAAGCCAAGCCAGACGUCUGUGAGCUGUGGAACGGAUCACAGAUAGAGGAGCUGAGAGAAAGCUGACCCUGAGGUCAGAGAUGAAGAUAAUUACAACUGAAACAGUGGUGACAGAACUCUGGUGAACACCUGCUUAAGAAUAGAGGUUUAAAGCAGAAGUAACUUCCUAGAGAAGAACCUGGAAACUCAUCAGCUGCAGAGACAAACAGACGGCCCAAAGAGCAGAAGAGCGAGCACGCAGAUGUGAACCGUAUCGAGACCGCAGUUGAUGGCUGAACGCCUUUGAUCCCGCGUGCGAG